GGAGGGAAGCUCAUCGGUGGAGCUCUGAGCUGAGUGCUGUGUCAUGCUGUACCCUGUCCCUUGGGAAGGUCUGAGACUAGGGCAGCAGCAGCCCUUACAGGUCCUCCCUGAGCUCGGGCGCUGAGCGCCUGAGAAGGCUCCGCCGGGGCAGACUGGGCAGGAGAAGCAGUGGAGCUUGGAACAGACUCCCAGCCGGCAAAUGAGUUCAAUGACUGAGAUGGGGCAUCUUUUUGGGGCUUCAUAACCCAAUUCAGCUUGUUCUCCCCGGUCC
rnacentral:RNase_P_RNA from 15 species